rnacentral:rRNA from 1 species
UACGUAGGGUGCAAGCGUUUGUCCGGAAUUAUUGGGCGUAAAGAGCUUGUAGGCGGUUUGUCGCGUCUGCUGUGAAAUUUCGGGGCUCAACCCCGAACUUGCAGUGGGUACGGGCAGACUAGAGUGUGGUAGGGGAGACUGGAAUUCCUGGUGUAGCGGUGAAAUUCGUAGAUAUCGGGAGGAACACCGGUGGCGAAGGCGGCGACCUGGGUAGAUACUGACGCUGAGGUGCGAAAGCGUGGGGAGCAAACAGG